UGUAGCAGAGUGCGGCCAUGGUGGGAUGUCCUAUUGUACGCUAGGGGUUCAGUUCCGGACCAGGGUGCAAAAUGGAAGGAGUUCUCGACAUAAAGCAUAAAAGCGAAGCUUGUAGUAAUUAAGCACAUUUUAUUUCAGCGCCUGUAUGAACUGACGAGAGAGAGAACACGAACCUCCCACUAAGUGUACAGUUGGUUUGACCCAAGAGCUGCGGAAACUGAGGACCAGAGUUGGGAAGGAUAUCACGCAGGGUCAUGGAACUCUCGGAAGCCCAGCAUCAAGCCUUUAGAAUCAGAUGGACCUGACUUUCAACUCUGGUUCACACCCUGCUAGCCAUGUAACCUCUGGCAAACUGCUCACCUAAUUCUCAGAGCCAUAGUUGGGUGGAAAUAAGAGCCUCUUCCAUGUGGUGGUUGUUGGUAACAUUUACAAACAAAUCUGGGCCCCGGGCCCCCAGGCUGUCAUUGACAGCAGCUUCUCUUGUUCUGGAAUCAGGAGGGAAAGAACAGUUGAUCUGGCAUUGGCUCUUCUCAGACUGAUCGGCGUCAGAAGGUCCUGGAAGGAUAGGUCACUGCGGACCCUGGCACGGCUCACGGUCCACGUCCCUACUUGGAGGACAUGCUGCAUUUCAGUCAGAGGUUAGUGAAUAUAGUUAUUUUGUUUCCAUCCAAGUUCAUAGAGCCCCUGAGUUCUGGACCCAAGUUCAGAACCCUUGCUAAAAAGUACGGCUGUCUCUCUUAUUUUAUUCCACUCGUCUCUUAUUGAAAAGUCACCCUGUCUCAGCAUUUUCUCCAAC